UCCACAAGAGCAUUACAUUAUGGGAUGUUUAAAGUGCCACAAUAUUUACAACAUACAUGAUAACACUAUUUACAUAUGCGGUAUACGAUAACAUUUGAUUUUUUAUGAUAGUUCUUGGACAAAGAUAUCUGCAAACAAAUAAAUUGCAUGGUAAUUAGUGAAAGUUAGAGUACAUAUGAAACAAAAAUGACUUAAAUAAAAACGAAUAUUACACUUUAAGCAUGACAACAAAAACAAAAGAAAAUAGAACCUGUUUGGUUUAAUCAUGUCAAAAUAAAAUAACAAUGUUAGGUGGAACAAUUGCACUUAACUGGAGUGCCAUGAAAGCACAAUAAUUCAUAGAUAUCAGCAAAAAAAAUAAUACAUAUGAAUAUCUAUUUUAGCACUAUAUCAUCUUCAAAUUCAAUAUGCAAUUUCUAAAUUAGCUUUCAUAAUCAAUGCCUCUCAUACUUGCAGAUAAGAUUUCUAUUUAAAGCAUUUUCCUCUAUCACGUUUAUGACAAAUAACUAAUUGAAAAAGAUAGAGGCAUACAGUUCAGAUAUAUACUUUAAGAGGGAUUAGGUUUAGAAAAGUGUAGGAACUGAAAAAGUUAUCAAACAAAAGGAUAAUAAAAGAAACUAAUAUAAGGCACUGAUCAUAUAUACAUUGUAAAAGAGUAGUGUUGAUCUUCCCAAAAGUCAUGUUACAACUCAAAAAUAAAUAUUAAUUUAAUAACUUAAUCAUAAGUUUUUGCAGAAAUACAGGAGCAAGAAAAGGAACAAUAUGUUUAUUUUACUUCUCUAAAUAUCUUACUUUAACAUACAUCAUUUUCAAGUGUCCACUGAAUUAAAAUUAAAUUAAAGUUGAGUAUUGUAAGACAUGCACAACUUGCAUAUUCAAAUAGGUCGUGAUCAAUCCUAUCCGUAGUCUGCAUUUGGGAGUAUGAAGAUGUAACAGGGCAAGCAAACGAAAGAGCAACCAACAUUUUCCCCAGGACUACUAAGAAAAAAGGGCAUGUGUUUAGUUUAAAAAAUCUUAAGAGGCAGGUUUUUAAAGUGAGUUAAAACGAACCUUGCAUUCUUUCAUUCUGAUCAUAUCAGUAGAAUUGAGUGGUAAUUAAAGAUGAUAAUACCAAAAAAAUUAUUUUUGCAGCAAAAGAUCAAUCACUUUGCGAAUUUAGUGCAGAAGCUCAUAAAAAUAAUAAAAUUUGUAGGAAUUUGAAGACCCCUUUUUAACGGAAUACUUUUCCCUCCCGGGAUAAUGGUAAGGUUUGCGUAUACACUACCCUCUCUAGAGCCCAUUUUUAGAAUACACUAAUUCAUUAGGUUCCUUGUUGUUUCACUAGAUUACAUCUCUUUAAAUCAAAUGAAUAACUAAGAAAGAGUGUUUGGUGCACCCUGAUCACUUACUCUAAAUAAUAAAUAUGGCUUCGAAGAAAUAAUAUGGGAAAAAGAAAGUUUAGAUUUGUAAUCAAAUAUACUAACCUUGUGUUGUUGUGACAUACUUUGAGUACAGGAGCGUCCAGAAAAAGCAAGCGCAUAAGUGGUUUUAACUGCAUUUGAAAAGAGCAAUACUAAUACAGGAUGCUAAGAUAAUUUGUAUAGUAACUUUUAUCCAAGAUGACAAUACCACACAUGUUGCAACAAUAAAUUUUGGUCAGCAUGCACGAAAGGAGAUUGCGCAAAUCAUAAGGAGAAAUGCCAUAUUUUUGUUAGCUUGAUAUUUCUGGAAUCUCUUCAUAUUAAAUUAUAUUGAUUCCUUUUGUCAAUAAAUUAUACCUUCUUCUCUAUUUUUCUUUAAGAGAGUAAAGCAUAAGAGAACAUGUCAAAUAUAUUAUCAGAACCUUUUUUGAGUAUUUAACUCAGUUAAUUCUGUAAGAUCCAUAAUUUCAUUGAAUUUAAGCUCAUUCCUUUUUAUAACAAGAUCUGCAAAAAGGAUAAAUAAUGUAUUGGAAUUGUUCAAACUAAAUCUUAGAUGAAAAUAAAAAACUUUAUAUGAAAAAGAGUAGAAAGGAGUAACUUUUUUUCCUUUUUUAACUUCUUGUGUUGAAUACAAAAAAUUAUGCCAGUAUACUUGAUGCAUGCAAGUAUAAUAUUAUUUCAGUCGGCCUUCUUCUUCUCGAGGAGUCAAUCUAUCAUCCAUUAACUGAAAGAAUAAAAAUAUGCAUUAGAUAAACAUACAAUGUUCAAGAGAGAGGAUCUUUAUCUUUGAUGAAGACGGUCUAAAUUCCAAUGCUAUAUCUUGUAUAGUCUGAGUCGUUGACGGUAAUUGUUGGGAAAGAAACAUAGAAGGCCAGGAUAUAUUGGUAUGGCACUUAAAGGAUAGCAUAACAGAAAUACAAAGAAAACAUGUUCAAUUAUGUCGUGCCUUCUAAGGUUCCUCUAUAAUCUCAUUCUUUUUUAAGAAGGUUCUCAUGCCUUCUAAGGUUCCUCCAUAAUCUCAUUCUUUUUUAAGAAGGUUCCUUUAGCUCUUGUCAAUGAUACAUAACAAAUUGUGGAAUCGAGUUCAAAAAUUAACCUUAGCAAAAAAAAAUGAGUGAGAAGCCGAAACUGAGUAAAUAGUGACACAAUUGUGUCUAUUCUUCUAGAUAUAACUCCAUUUCAGGCAUUUGAACAAAUAAUAACAUGUAUGCGAAGAGCCCACAAAGACAACAUGCAGAAAGACCAAAAAGAACAGAUUUGGAUUCAAAAAUUAUAAAUAUAUAUAAUACAUUAAAUUGAAAGGACUCAAAAAUGUACAUACGCACAGCGAAUCAAAAUGUUGGAAUUGCAUGUCACUAUCAUUGUUACUUUAUGGUACAGUGUUGAGGUGCUGAGCUUCUUGAAUAAAUCAAUUUAAAGUUAAAUUGAAUGCCAGUAACAAAGAAGAAACAGAAGACUAAAUUUACAAUAAACAAAGGAUAAAACAAGUAGAAAAAUCUAGAUCAACAAACAAUGGAAACUAAGAACAAGAAGAAGCAAAUAGCAGAGAGAUGACACUAACUGAACACGGCGAGACCCAGCGGAGAAGAUAAUUGAACAGAGAAAGCUAGAGGGAAGGACAAAGCUGGAAAAAAAAUUGGAUCAAGAUGAAAAGAUCAAAUAUGUAAUGCAGUUGGUGGCUAUUAUUCUCUGAAAGAAAUGUGAGUUUUUAUAGAUAAAAUGUCAAAACUGUCGUUAACCUA
rnacentral:lncRNA from 1 species